GUUUAAGAAAACACGGGGCGGCGGCGGGGGGGGGGGGGACUUCCCUGGUGGUGCAGUGGUUAAGAAUCCGCCUGCCAAUGCAGGGGACACAGGUUCGAGCCCUGGUGCAGGAAGACCCCACAUGCCACGGAGCAGCUAAGCCUGUGCGCCACAACUACUGAGCCUGUGCUCUAGAGCCUGCGAGCCACAACUAGUGAGCCCAUGAGCCCACGUGCCACAACUACUGAAGCCCGUGCGCCUAGAGACCGUGGCUCUGCAGAAAGAGAAGCCACCGCAGUGAGAAGCCCGCACAUUGCAACAAAGAGCAGCCCCCGCUCGCCACAACUAGAGAAAGCCCACGCAGCAACGAAGACCCAACGCAGCCAAAAAUUAAUUAAUUAAUUAAUUAUUUUAAAAAAAGAAAACAUGGGAAUUUCCUGGUCGUCCAGUGGUUAGGACUCGGGGCUUUCACUGCCAGGGCCUGGGGGUCAAUCCCUGGUCAGGGAACUAAGAUCCCGCAAGCUGCAUGGCACGGCCAAAAGAAAAAAAAAGAAAAAGAGAAAAACACCCCCAGGUGCACCCAGUGCGGCUGAGGUUAACAGCACCCGAUUCUACCAGGCUCCAGAUUGGAAUUUCCAACACCUGCAGGACAGACAGCUCUGCCAGAUCUGCUCAUACCGAGAAUGCGGUGUGGCCGACUCUGAGCUCGUCACGUCCUCCCUCGGGCCAGCUGCUCCUCUCCGCAGGCCAGAAUCACCUGUCAUUCGCCAAGCCCUGAGCGUCUUCCCUCCUGGGCUCACUGGCCCCCUCCUCAGGGCCUAGCACCGCCCCCCCCCAAACCUGGUCCCCCUGUCGCUAAUGAAGACUUUAGGCCAGGCCAGCAAACCAUACACCUUCAAGGGCCAAGUGAGCUUGGAGACAGGAAGAUGUGGGGACUGGAGCAAGAUAAAGACAGACCCACACAUGUCCUGUCUUGGGAAAGUGGCCUCAAUUCAACUUCAGCCAACUGUUGCUACAUAGGACUCUAGACCCAGAUCUAGCAAUUUUCCAAGUAAUGCUAGAAAUCUGGUGUUUUAUGUGAAAUCUCUUCUUUGUUAGAUUUAGGGACCUUAAUUUUAAAAUAUUUUCGAAAACUACCAAUGGGCUUCCAGUUUUCAAUCUUUGCCACAGAAUAACCUUCUAGAAGAACUAGCUUACUUCUGCAGCUGUCCUCUGCUCAGAGGAAAGAGUUGACAACUUUAUGGCCAGUUCCAAGGCCCUGGCCCACAGCAAGUCUACAGGUGAAAUAUGUACCUACUGACAAAAGACUUUCCCCACAUUUGUUAACCCUUGGAGUAAUUCACUGAGUCUGGCUGCAGCAUACUAGCGGCACAGAAACACAAACAACCAAGAAACCAAGUUUCAGGCCCAUCCCUCCUUGCCCCACCCCAUCCUACCCAGGGUACCCCCACUCUAAGUAAACCUCGUCUUCUCCUGCCCUUCCCCCUCCCUCUUACCAGUUCCACACACCAGCCCACGGUCAGGGCCCGCCGGAGACUAUCAGCAUCCUGCUUCCUGGGCUCCACCAGCUCCCGGAACGCUACCAGCACUGUCAAACCCCGAUGGUACUUGCCUCCGAUGGCAUUGUACUCCAGGACCUGGGGGCAAGGGCAGAGGGACAAGGCAUCAGGGUCUACAGAGCAGCUAUUCUGAGAGUUCUCCUUGCCCCUUCCCACUUCCAACCACGAGGCCUAACUUUAUCCUCCUCAACCCCUUCAGGCAGCCUCUGGAAUUGCUUUUCUCUCGGCUUCUUCCCAAAUCCUGGAGCACAGCUAGAAGUUCUCCAGUCCCCAGGCUCUCUCUGCAUUGUCUUCUUCAGUACACUUAAAGGCUCCAUACUGGAGAUUAAAAUCUGCUCCCAAACCCAGGACAGGGCUUGAAAUGAGCGAAAACUCUGUACGUGCUACUGAUAGGGACAGAGUAAAAGGACAAAGUAGGUGAUUAAAUAAUUAAUCCCACUAGAGGACUGUAAGUAAAGAAAAAAAGUAUGGGAGACCCCUGUAAGUUAAUGAUCACCGAAGAAAGCAGGUUUGCUUAACCACAAAACCAAGCAGACCUGCUCAGCAACGGAAGCAUGAGACAUGCCCCAAAACAAUAAAACAACAGUGGCAUGAGACCCACAUCCUGCCCAGUGAGUUCAGUCAGUUAAUGACCCCUAGAACAUGCUCUCUGCACACACAAAAAACAAUUUAUGGAAAGGCGACAUUUCAAUGUAAAAGACCCUCAUUGUACUGAGACCUGAAAUAAUUGUUCCAUAGUGCCACGACAGUCCUGGCUUAAACAUGUAGGGACAAGAAAACUCCCCUGCCCAACGCGGAGGAGGAGGUGAUGAUGAAAGCGUGACGUCUACUCAAGAAUGAGGAAGAAGGCGGUCUUGUCCUCCUCCCCGCUUUUCCUUUGAUUAUAAAACUGUAGCCCAUGAAGUUCUUGGGGUGCGGCACCCUCUCACCCACCGGCUUGUAAGCCUCACAAGCGUUCUAUUCUAAUAAAUCACUUCUUUUCUAUCA